rnacentral:rRNA from 1 species
CUUUUCCGCCGGCGACCGGCGCACGGGUGCGGAACGCGUAUGGAACCUGCCCCUGUCAGGGGAAUAGCCCAGGGAAACUUGGAUUAAUGCCCCAUGGUACCGUUAUAUCGCAUGAUAUUACGGUUAAAGAUUUAUCGGACAGGGAUGGCCAUGCGUACCAUUAGUUAGUUGGUGGGGUAACGGCUCACCAAGGCAGCGAUGGUUAGGGGCCCUGAGAGGGGGAUCCCCCACACUGGUACUGAGACACGGACCAGACUCCUACGGGAGGCAGCAGUGAGGAAUAUUGGACAAUGGGCGGGAGCCUGAUCCAGCCAUGCCGCGUGCAGGAUGACGGCCCUAUGGGUUGUAAACUGCUUUUAUACGGGAAGAAACGCGCCCACGUGUGGGCGUUUGACGGUACCGUAAGAAUAAGGACCGGCUAACUCCGUGCCAGCAGCCGCGGUAAUACGGAGGGUCCGAGCGUUAUCCGGAAUCAUUGGGUUUAAAGGGUCCGUAGGCGGGCCUGUAAGUCAGGGGUGAAAGUUUGUGGCUCAACCAUAAAAUUGCCUUUGAUACUGCAGGUCUUGAGUCAUGGUGGGGUUGCCGGAACAUGUGGUGUAGCGGUGAAAUGCAUAGAUAUCACAUAGAACACCGAUCGCGAAGGCAGGUGACCAACCAUGUACUGACGCUGAUGGACGAAAGC